UAAAUAAUGUUUCGUGCGAUGUUGAUGAACGUACAAUACACGCUAUCGAUGUAACUUUUGGCACAAAUGAAUGUCCCUUUCCCGUUAAUGAACAGCAAAAGGUGUAUUAAAGACUUCGUGACCUAAUCAAUAUUCACAAAGGAAGUUAACAGCACAUGCUUGAUUAACAAUGCGCUGAGUUUAGUGGGCUCCCUCUGUGCACCGGAGACUUGAACUUGAAUCUAUUAAUUGAUUCGGGGCAAACGUUGCUCCUUCCAUGUACCCAUUUACAAAGCAAAAGGUUCGACUGAAUUGGGUUUAAGUUUGGUCCGACGUAUGCUGCAAGCCUUAGACAGAGAAUGGACAAGUCAGCUCCAACGUGUCCUCAAGAUCCGACGCGCGCACGAAUAUCCAAUCAGAAAGCAGCAAAUAGAAGCCAGUGAAGUGCAACCCAAAUGUCCCACAAAAGUCCCACAAAUUGUACAACGUGUCGGAUGAGGAGUGUGAAUCCUGAACUCGGGUUUAUCUAUAAUAUAGACGUCUAUAGGAGUUUUCCUGUGACUUGGGAAAUAAAAGACGGUCACCUAACAUCAUAGAAAUUGAUUUGUUGUCCAAGCUUGGUGAAAAUCUUGUAGAGAAGCAUAGAAAUAGAUAACUACAAGUUUGGUUGUUAAUGAAAACGACACAAAUCCAGCACGAAAUAA